rnacentral:rRNA from 1 species
GACGAACGCUGGCGGCGUGCCUAAUACAUGCCAGUUGAGCGCUGAAGGUUGGUACUUGUACCAACUGGAUGAGCAGCGAACGGGUGAGUAACGCGUGGGGAAUCUGCCUUUGAGCGGGGGACAACAUUUGGAAGCGAAUGCUAAUACCGCAUAAAAACUUUAAACACAAGUUUUAAGUUUGAAAGAUGCAAUUGCAUCACUCAAAGAUGAUCCCGCGUUGUAUUAGCUAGUUGGUGAGGUAAAGGCUCACCAAGGCGAUGAUACAUAGCCGACCUGAGAGGGUGAUCGGCCACAUUGGGACUGAGACACGGCCCAAACUCCUACGGGAGGCAGCAGUAGGGAAUCUUCGGCAAUGGACGAAAGUCUGACCGAGCAACGCCGCGUGAGUGAAGAAGGUUUUCGGAUCGUAAAACUCUGUUGGUAGAGAAGAACGUUGGUGAGAGUGGAAAGCUCAUCAAGUGACGGUAACUACCCAGAAAGGGACGGCUAACUACGUG